rnacentral:rRNA from 1 species
UGCAGUCGAGCGGCAGCGGAAAGUAGCUUGCUACUUUGCCGGCGAGCGGCGGACGGGUGAGUAAUGUCUGGGAAACUGCCCGAUGGAGGGGGAUAACCACUGGAAACGGUGGCUAAUACCGCAUAACGUCUUCGGACCAAAGUGGGGGACCUUCGGGCCUCACACCAUCGGAUGUGCCCAGAUGGGAUUAGCUAGUAGGUGGGGUAAUGGCUCACCUAGGCGACGAUCCCUAGCUGGUCUGAGAGGAUGACCAGCCACACUGGAACUGAGACACGGUCCAGACUCCUACGGGAGGCAGCAGUGGGGAAUAUUGCACAAUGGGCGCAAGCCUGAUGCAGCCAUGCCGCGUGUGUGAAGAAGGCCUUCGGGUUGUAAAGCACUUUCAGCGAGGAGGAAGGGUAGUGUCUUAAUACGGCAUUACAUUGACGUUACUCGCAGAAGAAGCACCGGCUAACUCCGUGCCAGCAGCCGCGGUAAUACGGAGGGUGCAAGCGUUAAUCGGAAUUACUGGGCGUAAAGCGCACGCAGGCGGUUUGUUAAGUCAGAUGUGAAAUCCCCGAGCUUAACUUGGGAACUGCAUUUGAAACUGGCAGACUAGAGUCUCGUAGAGGGGGGUAGAAUUCCAGGUGUAGCGGUGAAAUGCGUAGAGAUCUGGAGGAAUACCGGUGGCGAAGGCGGCCCCCUGGACGAAGACUG